rnacentral:ncRNA from 1 species
AUAAUGAAAUAACUCAUAUAGACCCCUGAGAUGGUGGGGUGUUUCUACCGGAAGCCGUUAAUUUCCGACUAUGAGUGAAUAUGAUAUAU